ensembl:miRNA
UGUGGAGUAUGUACGUGUAUGUGUGUGUAUAAGUACAUGUGUGUACACAAUGGAAUUUCUUACAUCCAUAAAGAAGAAUAUAAUGACAACA